CCUACGGGAGGCAGCAGUGAGGAAUAUUGGUCAAUGGGCGCGAGCCUGAACCAGCCAAGUCGCGUGAGGGAGGACGGCCCUACGGGUUGUCAACCUCUUUUGCCGGGGAGCAACGGGCGCCACGUGUGUCGUCACUGCGAGUACCCGGAGAAAAAGCAUCGGCUAACUCCGUGCCAGCAGCCGCGGUAAUACGGAGGAUGCGAGCGUUAUCCGGAUUUAUUGGGAUUAAAGGGUUCGUAGGCGGAUCGUUAAGUCAGUGGUCAAAUUGAGGGGUUCAACCCCUUCCCGCCAUUGAAAAGGGCGUUGUUGAUGGUAAGAGAAGUAUGCGGAAUGCGUGGUGUAGCGGUGAAAUGCAUAGAUAUCACGCAGAACCCCGAUGGCGAAGGCAGCAUGCCGGCUUCCGACUGACGCUGAAGCACGAAAGCGUGGGGAUCGAACAGGAUUAGAUACCCGAGUAGUC
rnacentral:rRNA from 1 species